rnacentral:lncRNA from 1 species
AAAGGUAUGCUCUGAAUUCUUCCUGCAGUGUGAAACCUGAGACCCACUGGGCUUUUUCUGGGGGAGAAACCACUGCUGAACAUCCCUGUGCCUGCAGAGGGACUGUGGGUGCUUGUGCCAUGGUCAUGUAGCUCCCUGGAAUGAGGAGGGAUAAGGAAGAAAAGGAGAGGUGUAAUUUGAAUUUCCGAACUCCCAGUGUGCUGCUGAAGCCCUCGGUCCUGUACAAAACACUGAAGGGCUUAUGCUGAAAGAGCAGCCAGAGCCUUCCCUCGGUGUCUGUGUGCAGAGAGCAAGGCUGAGGCUGUUCUCAGAGCCUGAUGGAAUUAAUUCCUGAUGGGUUCUUCAUCAGCUGCCCAGCACUGCUCCAGCUGCCUCUGUGCUGCAAGGAAAGGAUGCACAGACACCACUGCAGCUCUCCCUCAGCUUGGAGCAAACCUCAUCAGAGCAGUGGAGAAGCCUCCAGAUUUCAACCCUGGCAAAACCUGUGUUCCCACUGGAUUGCCAUGACUCAGUGACAUUCCAUUGUGUUGCAGAAAAUCUGAAAUGGGGCCAAGAAAUUCCAAUAUUACCUUCUUAAAGAAAGAAUACCCACUAAACUGCUUGUCCUUCAAAUCCCAUUCAGUGACCACAGUGUUGUAUUUCAAGCAGGGCCAAUACAGGAGUUUUCCUUUAAACUGCACUUAAAAUGUAGGAACUAAAAAUCCCAGAAUACCCUGAGCUGGAAGGGAACCAGGAGGAUCAUUGAGCUCAGCUGCUGGCCCAGCACAGGACAGCCCAGGAACCCUCCCCAGCUCCCCUCUGUGCCCUUGCCUUUGGUUCCAGGAGCAGCUCUGUGCUCCUGUGAAGCUCAGAGCCUGUGUCUGGGGAGGAUGCAGCCCAGCUGUGCACAGAGCCUUCCCUGCCCAUUCCUGUCACUGCUGGCUCCCACAGGGAUAUCCCAGGGAUCUUCAGACUCCACUGAGCUGCAGCUCUGACAGCAGCCAAAUCUGAGCUGCUCUGGAACUCUGGUUAUUGAUUUAGGGUCACUGGUGGGGAGUGCAAGUGCUCAGGAAUUACCCUCCAGAAAUCCAAGUCAGAAGUGCUGAUCGGUGAAUUCAAUACUGAGCAGGGUGUUUCACUCAGUGGAGAGCAGCACUGAGCUGAUCACGGUGCCAUCCCUCUCCAAUCCAAACACUGCUCUCUCCAUCAAAAUUAGCAGUGGAAAAUAGUCCAAUGCUGCUUUUACAUUUAGAACAAAUUCUGUGACUGGAUGACAACAAAACAUCUCCUGUGCACCUCUGCUCUGGAGCCAGGCUGGCAGAGCUGGGGGUGCUCACCUGGACAGGAGC